rnacentral:tRNA from 1 species
GUCCCCUUAGUUAAAUGGAUAUAACGAGCCCCUCUUAAGGGCUAGUUGCAGGUUCGAUUCCUGCAGGGGACACCA